CCCUACCUCUCUCUCUAUUCCUCUCACUUCUCCCAAGCCCAGCCCCGACAUCCACAUAGUCACCCACCUCGCCACGACCUCCCCCUUCCCUAGCCCAUUAUUCUGAACCCGCCCCCUCUUUCCCAGCACAACCCAUCAACCCAAACCCUUAGUACACUCCUAAAAACACGGCCUCCAUCAACGACGGACUGGAUCUGGAAAUUUCUUUGCUAGCCAAAUACCAAAACAUGUAUUUACCAAUCUAGGCCAACUUGAAUAUCUCAAUCUCUCCAUUAACCAUUUCCAAGGACCACUGCCAUAAAAUUUUCCCAAUCUUAAACGCCUCCAUUUAGCAGUGAACCACUUUAGUGGCCCAAUUCUUGAAGAUAUUGGUUUGAUAUAUGGUCUUGAGCAUAUUGACCUACUUCAAAAUCCACUUGAAGGAAAAAUUCCAUCCUCUAUAGGCCAACUCAGGGAGCUCCAAUACCUUGAUCUUCAAAACAAUUCCUUAAAUUCUUCAAUCCCUAUGCUGGGUAUGGUGAUUUAGAUGGUAGGUUUUGAUGUUUGGAUAUGUGGGUAUGGUGGUGCUGGUGGUUUAUAUGGUGGAGAGAUAUAGGAGGUGGUAGUGGGGAGUUGGAGGGGUUGGUGUGUGGUGGUUACUGGGAAAA
rnacentral:lncRNA from 1 species